UCCCUGUUGACGCUGGGUGCUAGGCUGAAGAGCAGGACCUUCCCUGGAAUAGGGGAGGACGGGUCUUCAGUCAAGGGUAUGAGAGUAGCUGCGCUCCCCUCCUAGAGCCUCAAACAAGCUCUCAAGAAAUUGGAACAGGAUUGGAGAGAUGGCUUAGU
rnacentral:sRNA from 1 species